UGGCAAAUAUAAGAGGUCCAGCCUGCCCAGUGACCUGAUUUAACGGCCGCAGUACCCUAACCGCGCAAAGGUAGCAUAAUCACUUGCCCUCUAAAUAAGGACUAGUAUCAACGGCAUCACGAGGGUUCUACUGUCUCCUUUUUCCAAUCAGUGAAACUAAUCUCCCCGUGAAGAAGCGGGAAUAAAUCUAUAAGACGAGAAGACCCCAUGGAGCUUCAAACCAGCUACAACCCUGCCCCCCCACACCCUUUCAACCCCUGGGCCCUACAUGCCUGGUUUUCGGUUGGGGCGACCACGGAGUACAAAAAAACCUCCACGAUGAACGAGCCUACCCUCUUACCUAAGAACUACACCUCAAAGAACUAGUAUACUAACAUAAAGUGAUCCAAUAAUUGAUCAACGAACCAAGUUACCCUGGGGAUAACAGCGCAAUCCAUUUCAAGAGCCCCUAUCGACAAAUGGGUUUACGACCUCGAUGUUGGAUCAGGGUAUCCUAGUGGUGCAACAGCUACUAAAGGUUCGUUUGUUCAACGAUUAAAACCCU
rnacentral:rRNA from 1 species